AGAGUUUGAUCAUGGCUCAGAACGAACGCUGGCGGCAGGCCUAACACAUGCAAGUCGAGCGAAGUCCUUGGACUUAGCGGCGAACGGGUGAGUAACGCGUGGGAACGUGCCUCUCAGUACGGAAUAGCCUGGGGAAACCCGGAUUAAUACCGCAUACGCCCUUCGGGGGAAAGAUUUAUCGCUGAGAGAGCGGCCCGCGUCUGAUUAGGUUGUUGGUGGGGUAAUGGCCCACCAAGCCUACGAUCAGUAGCUGGUUUGAGAGGAUGAUCAGCCACACUGGGACUGAGACACGGCCCAGAUUCCUACGGGAGGCAGCAGUGGGGAAUCUUGGACAAUGGGGGCAACCCUGAUCCAGCCAUGCCGCGUGAGUGAAGAAGGCCCUAGGGUUGUAAAGCUCUUCA
rnacentral:rRNA from 1 species